GUGCCUGACACAUGCAAGUCGAACGGGUGCUAACUGCCCGCAAGGGUGGCUAGCGCUAGUGGCGGACGGGUGAGUAACACGUGGGCAACCUGCCUGAGAGUGCAGAAUAACCCUGCGAAAGCAGAGCUAAUACUGCAUGUGGUUGUCGGAUGGCAUCAUCUGACAACUAAAGUCGCAAGACGCUCUCAGAUGGGCCCGCGGCCUAUUAGCUAGUUGGUGAGGUAACGGCCCACCAAGGCAAUGAUGGGUAGCUGGUCUGAGAGGACGGACAGCCACACUGGGACUGAGACACGGCCCAG
rnacentral:rRNA from 1 species